rnacentral:rRNA from 1 species
AUGAGUCGACCUGAUGGGAUCAACAUCCCUGAUGGCAAGUUCGACCUUGGAGAUGUUAGCUAUGCAUGUCGUCUGGGUAUUCUUCCACCCUUCAGGAAAACCAGGUACCAUCUCAACGAGUUCUCUGGUAGAAACUAUCCUAGGACUGCACAGGAGCUGUUUAAUAAACGUUCCAGCUUUAGAGUAACUGUUGAGAGGGCAUUUGGAGCUCUGAAGAAUAGGUUUAAGAUCCUGGAUCAGAAGCCAUUCCACCCAUACUCCACUCAGGUUAAGCUUGUUCUUGCUUGUUGCAUUCUGCAUAACUAGAUCCUCCGGUGGGGCUUUGAUGAACACGUGCCUCGGGAGGAAGAGGUCGAGCCUGACGAUGUUGUUAUCUUUGGCCAUGGUAUGCAUGCAUUUGACAAUGACGCUUGGAAGAACAAAAUGUUGGAGUGGGCAGAGGCAAUGUGGCUUAACAGAGGUCAGUGUAGGAUUUGA